GGUGGUUCACAUCCGUGAUGAAAAGGGAACCGGGUGCAAGUCCCGGACAGUCCCGCUGCUGUAAACUUGAUUAUGGAAAGGCCCUAUACGCCACUGGAGCGCCUCCAGAUAAAGGAUGGUCUCCGGGAAGGCUGCCUUUCUCAAGUGAAGUCAGAAGACCUGCCACCGCAG
rnacentral:ncRNA from 1 species